AAGAUGACAGGUCAAGCUGGAGCUAUCCUCUGAGAACAAAGGAGCAAGCAACGGCUACCUUGUUUAUCUCUAGAUUAGGUAGAUCACUUUUGCAGUUUAUUUGAAACAAGAAACAGCCUUUACAAAUCCCUACAGAUGGCUUUUAAAGGCUUUGUGAAAGAGGGUAGGACUCGAACCAAUGGAUUCAAACCACAACAAAGGAGAUUCCGAUGAAAUGUUAGGAGAAACUUUCUGGGGGAAAGAGCUGCUUGAUAGUGGAACAGACUACCUUGGA